rnacentral:rRNA from 1 species
UACGUAGGGACCAAGCGUUGUUCGGAUUUACUGGGCGUAAAGGGCGCGUAGGCGGCGUGACAAGUCACUUGUGAAAUCUCCGGGCUUAACUCGGAACGGCCAAGUGAUACUGUCGUGCUAGAGUGCAGAAGGGGCAAUCGGAAUUCUUGGUGUAGCGGUGAAAUGCGUAGAUAUCAAGAGGAACACCUGAGGUGAAGACGGGUUGCUGGGCUGACACUGACGCUGAAGCGCGAAAGCGUGGGGAGCAAACAGG